UACGUAGGGGGCAAGCGUUGUCCGGAUUUAUUGGGCGUAAAGCGCGCGUAGGCGGCUUUACAAGUCCGUUGUGAAAACUCGAGGCUCAACCUCGAGCUGUCGGUGGAAACCACAUGGCUAGAGUCCGGAAGAGGAGAGUGGAAUUCCUGGUGUAGCGGUGAAAUGCGCAGAUAUCAGGAAGAACACCAAUGGCGAAAGCAGCACUCUGGGACGUGACUGACGCUGAGACGCGAAAGCGUGGGGAGCAAACAGG
rnacentral:rRNA from 1 species